AUUGAGGUGUCUGAUUAAAGUGGUAAACUGUAAAUUUAUUUAAGAAUGUUGUUUCCUUCAAUA
rnacentral:tRNA from 1 species